rnacentral:rRNA from 1 species
UACGUAGGUGGCAAGCGUUAUCCGGAAUUAUUGGGCGUAAAGCGCGCGCAGGCGGUUUCUUAAGUCUGAUGUGAAAGCCCACGGCUCAACCGUGGAGGGUCAUUGGAAACUGGGGAACUUGAGUGCAGAAGAGAAAAGCGGAAUUCCACGUGUAGCGGUGAAAUGCGUAGAGAUGUGGAGUAACACCAGUGGCGAAGGCGGCUUUUUGGUCUGUAACUGACGCUGAGGCGCGAAAGCGUGGGGAGCAAACAGG